rnacentral:rRNA from 1 species
AUUAUCAUUUGGACAGUGGCAGACUGGUGAGUAACGCGUGGAUAAUCUGCCCCGAAGAUGAGGAUAGCUCGCCGAAAGGUGAGGUAAUCCUCAAUGGUGUGGGAAGUACAUAUGUACAUCCCACUAAAGCUUUAGCGCUUCGGGAUGAGUCUGCGUCCUAUCAGCUUGUUGGUAGAGUAAAGGUCUACCAAGGCUAAGACGGGUAACUGGUCUGAGAGGAUGGUCAGUCACAGUGGCACUGAAACACGGGCCACACUCCUACGGGAGGCAGCAAUUAGGAAUCUUGCACAAUGGAGGAAACUCUGAUGCAGCGACACCGCGUGAAGGAUGAAGACCCUCGGGUUGUAAACUUCUUUUAUAAUCUAACAAGUUCUGAGUGGAGUAUGAAUAAGCACCUGCUAACUGCGUGCCAGAAGCAUCGGUGAAGCGUGGGGUGCGAGCGUUAUCCGGAUUUAUUGGGCGUAAAGAGAUGCGUAGGCGUUUUGGUAAGUCUUCUGUCAAAGCCUUCGGCCUAACCGAAGAAAGGCAGAGGAUACUAUCAGAAUUGAGACAGAGAGGGGGAAGUGGAAUUCCCGGUGGAGCGGUGAAAUGCGUUGAUAUCGGGAGGAACACCAGUGGCGAAGGCAACUUCCUGGCUCUGUUCUGACGCUGAGGCUCGAAAGCGUGGAGAGCAAAGCGGAUUAGAUACCCGUGUAGUCCAUGCUGUAAACGUUGGAUACUGGACGUUUGGUUC